rnacentral:rRNA from 1 species
AGAGUUUGAUCCUGGCUCAGAACGAACGCUGGCGGCAUGCCUAACACAUGCAAGUCGGACGCUCCUUGGGGUUUCGGCCUCUGGGGGAGUGGCGGACGGGUGAGUAGCGCGUGGGAACCUGCCCCUUUGUGGGGGAUAACCGAGGGAAACUUCGGCUAAUACCGCAUGCGCCGGGAGCGAUCCCGGGAAAGAUUUAUCGCAGAGGGAGGGGCCCGCGUCGGAUUAGGUAGUUGGUGGGGUAACGGCCUACCAAGCCUUUGAUCCGUAGCUGGUCUGAGAGGAUGAUCAGCCACACUGGGACUGAGACACGGCCCAGACUCCUACGGGAGGCAGCAGUGGGGAAUAUUGGACAAUGGGCGCAAGCCUGAUCCAGCAAUGCCGCGUGAGUGAUGAAGGCCUUAGGGUUGUAAAGCUCUUUCGCCCGCGACGAUGAUGACGGUAGCGGGAGAAGAAGCCCCGGCUAACUUCGUGCCAGCAGCCGCGGUAAUACGAAGGGGGCGAGCGUUGUUCGGAUUUACUGGGCGUAAAGGGCGCGUAGGCGGCGGCCCAAGUCGAGUGUGAAAGCCCCGGGCUCAACCU